rnacentral:rRNA from 1 species
CUCCUACGGGACGCAGCAGUCGGGAAUAUUGCGCAAUGGAGGAGACUCUGACGCAGUGACGCCGCGUGCAGGAAGAAGGUUUUCGGAUUGUAAACUGCUUUAGACAGGGAAGAAACAAGACAGUACCUGUAGAAUAAGCUCCGGCUAACUACGUGCCAGCAGCCGCGGUAAUACGUAGGGAGCAAGCGUUAUCCGGAUUUACUGGGUGUAAAGGGAGCGUAGACGGCUGUGCAAGUCUGAAGUGAAAGCCCAGGGCUCAACCCUGGGACUGCUUUGGAAACUGUGGAGCUAGAGUGCUGGAGAGG